AAGUCUGAUGGAGCAACGCCGCGUGAGUGAUGAAGGUUUUCGGAUCGUAAAACUCUGUUGUAAGGGAAGAACCAGUAUGUCAGGCAAUGGACGUACCUUGACGGUACCUUAUUAGAAAGCCACGGCUAACUACGUGCCAGCAGCCGCGGUAAUACGUAGGGGGCGAGCGUUGUCCGGAUUUACUGGGCGUAAAGGGUGAGUAGGCGGUAAUAUGUGUCAGAUGUAAAAGGCUAUGGCUUAACCAUAGUUGGCAUUUGAAACUGUAUUACUUGAGUGCAGGAGAGGUAAGUGGAAUUCCUAGUGUAGCGGUGAAAUGCGUAGAUAUUAGGAGGAACACCAGUGGCGAAGGCGACUUACUGGACUGUAACUGACGCUGAGUCACGAAAGCGUGGGUAGCAAACA
rnacentral:rRNA from 1 species